CGCAAAGAAAGGAAGACUCAUGGCUGGGAGUGUCGUUUUAGGCUCUGUGACCCAGAAGCAAGACGCAAUAAACGGGUGCAGUGGAGGUAGAAACGGGAAAUGCAGUACCCUUCCCGGAAGCGACUCCCCUCGGAACCUGUGGUGAUAAGGAAGAUGUGAGCCUGGAGAUACAGAAGCUAGCACAUGAAUGCUAAAAAUGAAGCUGACGCAGCAAAAGGCAGUGCCAAGGAACUAAAAGAAAACACAUUUUGAUUACGUUUUUGGAGUGCCUGGGUCAAGCAGUUCAUGACACUGAGGCUUUUCUGCUACCUUAAUAAAUACUUUUUCCUUCCCACUAAGGUGAGUUUGUUCUGGCCUCUCUAUCACUCACAACAACUGGUUACUAACUGAAGCAACCUUUCUUACCUCUUACACUCAUUACACCCAUAAAACAGAAACAACAUUUAAACUUGGAUCUCAACACAACUACCAAAGCAGAAAAGUUCAAAUCAACAAGUCAUUCAUGGAUAAUGUUUGACUGAAACUGCAUUUCUCCUCCAACCUGAGUGUGGUGUUGGCGAAAUGUUGCGUGUUGAUUCUGCAUGCCUUUGUGUUCUACACGUAGGGUGUGUGCUGUGUAAUGAAUCGUUUCUUUAUCAUUUUUCUCAGCUUGAAUGGUUGCAUCACCUCCAUUCACAGAGCUCACUGUGAUGGCAUUCAACCUUGUCUCGGUACAAGUGUGUCAUUUACAUAAUAGUUGCCUCUGUACUUUCCUUGGUAACUUAAACAAAGAAGACCAUCACUCACUGUGCUUGCCUUUCAAAUUAUAUUUGAUAUCUAAUUAAAGUCUCAUUUUAUUAAAUUUCUGAAGCCAAA